UAAUUAUACAAGAAAUUUGCAGGGACAAGAAAGGUUGAGCAGUUUAGCUCUAAUUGGCAUAGAAGAAGCCAUUUUAAAAAGCAUUAAGAAUGAUAACUUCUACAAUGAUGUUAUCAACAAUUUCAACAAGAAAGAGAGAAGGAUUGAAUUAACAUUUAAAUAAAAUGGAACAUCAGAUGACAUUGACA